rnacentral:lncRNA from 1 species
GCGAACUAAACAAGGCCAUAAUAGAGUACUUAUAUAAAAGAUCAUUUUAAGUAUUAAAAGAAAUAUAGAUAUUCUCUCGACUCAUUUACAGAAAAUAUUGUUUUUAAUUUUUAUUGUUGAAGAAGAUUAAAAAUAAAUAUAAAAUCUUUUAUCUGUAGUGUUAUGUAAAAAAUAAAUAGAUCUUAUAUUUUGGAUGAACAAUCAU